rnacentral:rRNA from 1 species
AACAUGCAGUCGACGAUGAAGCCUUUCGGGGUGGAUUAGUGGCGAACGGGUGAGUAACACGUGGGCAAUCUGCCCUUCACUCUGGGACAAGCCCUGGAAACGGGGUCUAAUACCGGAUAACACUCUGUCCCGCAUGGGACGGGGUUAAAAGCUCCGGCGGUGAAGGAUGAGCCCGCGGCCUAUCAGCUUGUUGGUGGGGUGAUGGCCUACCAAGGCGACGACGGGUAGCCGGCCUGAGAGGGCGACCGGCCACACUGGGACUGAGACACGGCCCAGACUCCUACGGGAGGCAGCAGUGGGGAAUAUUGCACAAUGGGCGAAAGCCUGAUGCAGCGACGCCGCGUGAGGGAUGACGGCCUUCGGGUUGUAAACCUCUUUCAGCAGGGAAGAAGCGAGAGUGACGGUACCUGCAGAAGAAGCGCCGGCUAACUACGUGCCAGCAGCCGCGGUAAUACGUAGGGCGCAAGCGUUGUCCGGAAUUAUUGGGCGUAAAGAGCUCGUAGGCGGCUUGUUGCGUCGGUUGUGAAAGCCCGGGGCUUAACCCCGGGUCUGCAGUCGAUACGGGCAGGCUAGAGUGUGGUAGGGGAGAUCGGAAUUCCUGGUGUAGCGGUGAAAUGCGCAGAUAUCAGGAGGAACACCGGUGGCGAAGGCGGAUCUCUGGGCCAUUACUGACGCUGAGGAGCGAAAGCGUGGGGAGCGAACAGGAUUAGAUACCCUGGUAGUCCACGCCGUAAACGUUGGGAACUAGGUGUUGGCGACAUUCCACGUCGUCGGUGCCGCAGCUAACGCAUUAAGUUCCCCGCCUGGGGAGUACGGCCGCAAGGCUAAAACUCAAAGGGAAUUGACGGGGGGCCCGCACAAGCAGCGGAGCAUGUGGCUUUAAUUUCGACGCAACGCGAGAACCUUACCAAGGCUUGACAUAUACCGGGAAAGCAUCAGAGAUGGUGCCCCCCUUGUGGUCGGUAUACAGGUGGUGCAUGGCUGUCGUCAGCUCGUGUCGUGAGAUGUUGGGUUAAGUCCCGCAACGAGCGCAACCCUUGUUCUGUGUUGCCAGCAUGCCCUUCGGGGUGAUGGGGACUCACAGGAGACUGCCGGGGUCAACUCGGAGGAAGGUGGGGACGACGUCAAGUCAUCAUGCCCCUUAUGUCUUGGGCUGCACACGUGCUACAAUGGCCGGUACAAUGAGCUGCGAUGCCGCGAGGCGGAGCGAAUCUCAAAAAGCCGGUCUCAGUUCGGAUUGGGGUCUGCAACUCGACCCCAUGAAGUCGGAGUUGCUAGUAAUCGCAGAUCAGCAUUGCUGCGGUGAAUACGUUCCCGGGCCUUGUACACACCGCCCGUCACGUCACGAAAGUCGGUAACACCCGAAGCCGGUGGCCCAACCCCUUGUGGGAGGGAGCUGUCGAAGGUGGGACUGGCGAUUGGACGAAGUCG